GCACAAUUGCUAUUCCCAAACUGAAGGGUUAUUUUGUCUGUGCUGGCAUUGUCCUGCUGUGCAUGUUUGCGGUGCAGAUAUGCGUUACCUCAAACUCACGAACCUUAGGAAUCUCAUUUGGGAUUGUUGCAAUCAUCAUGGGGCUGAUUUUGUGUGUCUGCUUUGCGGAUGACUGUUGGAGAUGCUGCGCAAAGCGGUGGCCACUAGCACGCUACUUCUGC